rnacentral:rRNA from 1 species
AGCGAACGCUGGCGGCAGGCCUAACACAUGCAAGUCGAACGAACUCUUCGGAGUUAGUGGCGGACGGGUGAGUAACACGUGGGAACGUGCCUUUAGGUUCGGAAUAACUCAGGGAAACUUGUGCUAAUACCGAAUGUGCCCUUCGGGGGAAAGAUUUAUCGCCUUUAGAGCGGCCCGCGUCUGAUUAGCUAGUUGGUGAGGUAAAGGCUCACCAAGGCUACGAUCAGUAGCUGGUCUGAGAGGAUGACCAGCCACAUUGGGACUGAGACACAGCCCAAACUCCUACGGGAGGCAGCAGUGGGGAAUCUUGCGCAAUGGGCGAAAGCCUGACGCAGCCAUGCCGCGUGGAUGAUGAAGGUCUUAGGAUUGUAAAAUCCUUUCACCGGUGAAGAUAAUGACUGUAGCCGGAGAAGAAGCCCCGGCUAACUUCGUGCCAGCAGCCGCAGUAAGAC